CAAUUCGGAAUGCCAUUAGAAGUCUACCAAUGUCAUACCGAAUUGAGGAAGUGUUAUUUCGGCGAAAAUAAGAAUAGGUGUACGCCGCUGGCGGUCAUCGCCACUUCGGGCAUCUUCGGGAUUCUGUCAGCUAGAUAUUGUAAGCCAACAGCCAACUUCACACCAUGUUACCGCUCCGUGUUGAUUACUUUUUACUUUUCUCAGCGUCCUGGUUUGAAACUCAAGAACAUUAUUACAUUGCAACCUUUUCAGAAAAUAUUAGUUGUAAAUAAUCUUUGUGGAUAACGUAUGCAUUUGUUCGUGUUAUAAAUGUGAAAUACUUCGUGAUCGUUGUGUUAAUUGAAGAUCACAUGCUGUAACCUAUACCGGCAUCGUUUGAUUGUGAAGCAUUUAUAAAAAUUCUUCGGGAUCGGCUCGACCAAUACUUCCACGGGAUUCGAGGAUACGUCGUACUACUUUUUAAAAGAUUUUGUGUACAUUCAUCACUGCUGAGGCUUCUCCCCUUUGUUUAGUUGUUGUGCUAGCUGGGGGUUGAUGGGCUUACUUGAGUGGAAGAAGAUGAAAGAAUUUCAGUCUUUACAGCGCUCCUGAUCACCACAGAUUUCAGUGAUCUCACACAUGCACGCGGGUUUUGUGAUAACUACUCAUAAAAAACUGCAAAAUUUAUUAUCAGUAUGUGGAUAUAGUUUCUGGUCAAUAAGACUUUCAUGAUAUGAAGAUAUUCAUUCCCAUUCCUGCGCAAAAUGAGUUGAAGCAUUGGACCUAGGAAUUUUUGUUUGAACGAUGCCAUUUCGGCAUAUCAUCUUACAGGGAAGUAUUUCAAGGGGCUCAUGGGUGAGUAAGAUUUUUUAUUUGAGAGAUUUUAUUCUUACAUGUUGUAUUAACUGCCUCUUGUUAAAGCAGUGAUGGCUACUGGAAAGGGAUAUCAUAAAAAUAAUAGUCUCUUCAUUUGUGACAUUAUUGGUACAAUUUAUUGGUAACAACUACACAUCGUCGAAUGAGCUAAAAGUAAAUUAUAAGUCUUUUCCAUUACAGAGAGUUCUGUUCACUACACGGCUAGUUGAAACAUCUUCAUUAAUAUUCAGAUUAGUCUGACGUUGAACCAAAAGUGUAUGGCUAUGACCCCUGAUGUCGGAUUUUGUUGCAAGGGAAAAAUUCCAUGUUACACAUACAGAUUUAUUCUUAAAGAUAUCAGGAAGUUCUGAAUUUGAUACUACAGAUUCUUUCUCAUUGACCGAGGUAAACGAGGAGGGUCUACAACUGAUCAUAAACACUAAUGUUUUCUCGAAUUUUCUCACAUGAUGUGAUUUAUAUUUCUGCAUAUUCGAAUUUUAUGUUGAUACAACAUGAAAAGCCGAAAAAAAAAGACAAAUUCAGGGAAACCCAUAGUAACUUUUUUUAAGUACUCAUAACAUCCUCCUUAUUUAAAAAGAGUUGAACUAUAAUUAGUCUGACAAGUUUACACAAUUAUCUUAACUCUUAAUAACAAGUUUUGGACAACUUAACGGGUUAGCUGGGUUUAAGAAAUUCGAAUAAAAAGAUUUAUCAUAUAUUUUAUUUAAACGAUUCAGUAUAUCAAAGAUACAUAUUUAAACAUUAUUUUGUGAAAUAUUCCGAAAACUCAGCUGUUACCCAUCUCUCUUGACAUCGCAAUAAAAAUGCUCUUACCGUGGACAGCAUAUCUCGUUAUUGGUUAAUCUUAAAUCAAAAAACAAGAAAUAGUUCGUCAGUACACGCAUAAAUCUCGUUAUUGGACGAAUAAAAAAAAAUGGAAUUUGAAUUUUCGACAGACUUAGAACAAAAAAAAAACAUAUUUUUUUGUCAAAUUUUUGCCAUGUAUUGGCUCGAAAAAAAUUAGUUGUAGUUGAGAAAAUAAAAUCCUUCGUUUAUUUACUUGAUCUUGAUCAAUGAAAGAGCGGUUUUCCACUGGUCAUGAGGUGAUUAUUUUCAAGAUGUUAAUUACACACAAAAUUGAAGGCCCUUGAAAGGGGAAAAAUGUGGAUUUGGCCCGUCGCGCGAAGGUUCAGGUCUUGAA